UCUCAAACUUCACGCACCAAGUUGAAAACUUUCAGAAACCCAUUAGAAAGAAGUUAAAGGUUCAAUAAAUGAACAACCAUGAUGGAAAGAAUUAAAGCUAAAUACGAAUUGGGAGAAUUUAAUCAGUGAAACAACAAUCAAAUAAAUUAGAAAAAAAAAAAAAGGGUGGAGCACAAUAAUUACCGCAGAAUCGGCGAUAAAUCUC
rnacentral:lncRNA from 1 species